GUUCCAAAAAGAAUUAGACAGAAAAAAUGGGGGUGAAGUGGUCCCCAGGCCUGAGAGAUGGAGAAUGGAGUGUAAGAAUCGCUGGAUACGCACGGAGAGACCUCAGGAACUCCACAGGCCAGUGUCAGUGGUUGGAACCCAGACGAGGCGAUUCGGACAUACAAAGAGACCCAGGAGUGCAGACACGCAGAGGAGGGACUGUGCGAGGACUCAGCGGGAAGGGGCUACCUGCAAGCCAAGGAGAGACGCUGCAGAAGAAGCCAAACCUGUUGACACCUCGAUCUUGGACUUUCAGCCUCCAGGAGCGGGGGAAGUCCAUUUGCACAUACUGGUCUGUGGUAGUCUGUUAUGGCAGCCCCGGCAAACUGAUGCCGUAGGGUUGGGUAUGAACCGAGUGAGGCGGCUGGAGGGUGAAGCAAAGGAUGGGAAGAGAAGAGACUGUCCCAACAGGCAGGACAGCUGGUGUGCGGCACUGUGCCUAUGUUAAGGACCCUGAGCUUUUUCCCGGAGGCGAAGGGAAGCUUUGGGAGAAUUUUAAGCAAGGAGGUGGCAGAAUCAGAAGGUGUUUCAAGGAGAGCUCCCCAGCGGCGACGAGGAAGGUGGAUUUGAUGAAACAGAAAGAUCAAGUCGGAGGCUGUUGGAUUGGUACCAGCGAGUUAUUAAUGGGACUCAAAUCCAGGGAGACAGCAGUACCAGGAAUGGAGAAGGACCCAGCUGAGAAUACUUACGAGGAAAGUUCAUAGUGCCGGCUGAAACCCUCCCAGGGCAAGGAGCGGAGAGGAGGAGGAAUUGGAAGGCCCCCACUUUUGGCCUGGGACAAGCGUGGGAACGUGAGCCACCACGGAUGAGCUCACUACCAUAGGAGACGAGCAGAUGGGGCCCAGGGAGUGGGGUUACCAGUGAGAGGCCUGUAGGGCCACCAGGAAGACAGGAUGUCAAAUGGGUCGCUAAGCAGUUGCCUCUGAUCUUUGAGGGAGAGUGGAGCCAGCCUGCAGAUGUGGGAGCCUCCAGCAAAGAGGGAAGGGUCUGCUUUUGGGGAAUCCUACCCAUGACAGGGGGUGUAGAUGAGACCACUCCAGGAGGAUGUGUGGCAAAGAGCGGAGCCCCCAAGGGAACACCAGCUCUGAAGAGGCAGGCGAAGAGAAGAGCCUGAAGACGAUGGAGGAGGGACAGCAGAGGGGCACCGGAGAGCCAGAAAAAAGAGAGGCAGAGGGGCUGCCAGGAAAGCCAGGUGACAGAGAUUCCCAGAACGAAGACUUGUCAAUAGUACCAAACAAAGCAGAGGAGUUCCAAUAAUAUAAAGACUGGGGGCGCCUGGGUGGCUCAGUCGUUAGGCGUCUGCCUUCGGCUCGGGUCAUGAUCCCAGCGUCCUGGGAUUGAGCCCCGCAUCGGGCUCCCUGCUCCGUGGGAGGCCUGCUUCUCCCUCUCCCACUCCCCCUGCUUGUGUUCCCUCUCUCGCUGUGUCUCUCUCAAAUAAAUAAAAUCUUUAAAAAAAAAAAAAAAAUAUAUAUAUAUAUAUAUAUAUAAAGACUAGAAUAUGUUUACAGAAUCUGGUGAUCAGAAGGGCAAAAUGACCUCAGGAAAAAAAUAGUUUCCCUAGAUUCAUGACGUUGGCUCACAGUCCCAAGUGAUGGGAACUUCAUUCUCCCUUCAUAAAUGGAUCCUCCCUUCCCUUCUUCCUCAUGGGCAGAAAACCUCACUUAGAUAUACGUAAGUUCUAGAUUUACGUCAAUGCACACACAUUUUCGCUGCCACCUCUGGAACUAGAAAUGUGUCUUUAGUUGUACUGAGACUGACAGGUUGGCUCUCAGGCCUCUGAGAGAUCAGAGAGAUGUGGAUGUUGAUGCGUUGAUAGAACUGAAGGAAGAACAUGGCUGAUGGCGUCGGUUUUCCCUGGGGGACAGGAGGCAAGAGAAGGAAGGGAGAGCGGGGAAGGGGGGAAGGUCUGGACUAGAUACU